rnacentral:rRNA from 1 species
AUUGAACGCUGGCGGCAGGCUUAACACAUGCAAGUCGAGCGGGGGAAGGUAGCUUGCUACCUAACCUAGCGGCGGACGGGUGAGUAAUGCUUAGGAAUCUGCCUAUUAGUGGGGGACAACAUUUCGAAAGGGAUGCUAAUACCGCAUACGCCCUAAGGGGGAAAGCAGGGGAUCUUCGGACCUUGCGCUAAUAGAUGAGCCUAAGUCGGAUUAGCAAGUUGGUGGGGUAAAGGCCUACCAAGGCGACGAUCUGUAGCGGGUCUGAGAGGAUGAUCCGCCACACUGGGACUGAGACACGGCCCAGACUCCUACGGGAGGCAGCAGUGGGGAAUAUUGGACAAUGGGGGGAACCCUGAUCCAGCCAUGCCGCGUGUGUGAAGAAGGCCUUUUGGUUGUAAAGCACUUUAAGCGAGGAGGAGGCUACCGAGAUUAAUACUCUUGGAUAGUGGACGUUACUCGCAGAAUAAGCACCGGCUAACUCUGUGCCAGCAGCCGCCGUAAAAC